UUCAUUUUCCUAGCAUUCACUUCAGAGCAGUCAGCAGCUAGCUCCCCGGAAUGUGGCUUGAAGCUUGUGUGGUCAGUACAAUUGUUUGGAGCUGUUUGUGCCAACAAUGGGAGGCAAUGCCUGUCUUCCAAAGGACACCGAGUGGCACUUGUCUUCCUUAGCCUAAGGAGGUCUUCUUACCAGCUGCAGCCAAGCCGUGCUUCUCAGGAAGAUGUACACCGCCAUCUAUUGGGCAUGGAGGUUAACAGCAAUGCUUUCCCACCCAACAUUUGCUCGAGGCCACUAAAGGACAGACAACAAAGCUUCCGGGUUUGAUGGCUAGCUCUGCCUUCUGUUGGCUGUGGAAUCAUCAGCAAGUCCCUCUGCAGUUCAGUAUCCAUCCACCAAAGAGAGGCAACUACAACAGCUUCCCAAAAGAAUCAGACGACGGGACGAUCCCACAUAAAAUGCUGAGCACAUUGCUUGGUAUACAACUGGUGCUUCACAACAUCUUUUCUUUACCAAUUAUAUCCUAAAACAAUCACAAACAGGUGGGUAUAUGUCUUUCUGGCUGGCAAAACGUUGGUGUGGUACUAUAGCAAUCACAGACUUUCAAUAUUUGAAAAAUGUAUGACUGAAUCAAUGUCCCCUUUAACUCACAUCUCAGCCACACAAAUCAAAGGUGGACAGUCUAUGACAACAUGAUGAGCAGAAAUGACCCCUAGUAAAAGACUUUCCAUAAAACCCCCAUGAACUAAAAAUCAGUGUGGCUAUAAUCUGCCUUACUUUUUUUCUUUUCAUUUUGAGACCCGGUCUCACACAGCCCAGGCUGGCCUCAAACUCACUAUGUAGCCAAGGACGACCUUGAAUUUAUGACCCUUCUUCUCUCUCCAAAAUUCUGGGAUUAGGGAAUGAGCUACCACACCCAGUUUAUUUGGUACAGGGGAACAAAUUCAGGGCUCGGUGGAUGUGAGGCAAGUACUCCCCAACUGAGCUACAUCCCAGCCUAUGCGUUGCUUUUAAAGAACUACAUGUUCCAAAUCUCUGCUCUGGGACACUGAUGACAAGAUGUUUUUUUAAUGCAGGCAGAUGGAUGAUCAUAACAUAGAAAGCAUUAAAGCAGAGAGAACAAUCAGGCUAGAGGCCAGAAAACAGCCUGGAGUAAAGAAUGACAAUUCUUAUGAAGCAUACUAGUUAGGAGCUGGGACUGUGGGAGCAGAUGCCUUGGGUUUGAAUCAAGCUCAGCCAAGUAUGAUCUUGAGCAGACACUUGACCUCCUCGGGCCUCACUUUCCUUGUUUUCAUAAUGUAGAAAGGAUUAGAGUUAAUAAAUGAGUAAUGUUCCGAGCUAUGCUUAGAUCCCAAGUUCUAAUAAACACUGACUGCUACUAUGUUUAUAGCAAUUAUUAUUAAUAAUUCUUAAGAUUUUUUCAGCCCUGUUUAACCCUUCUCUUAUCUAACGGUCCUCUAACCUAUCACGUAAAAUGAGGUGAAGGGGAAGAUUGUCAAGGAAACUCAAGCGAUCCAGGCAAGAAUUACUGAAGAUGCUUGAUUCACAGAACAAGUAUGCAACUCUCGUUUUGCUGGUAUAAAAAGAAAAUUUUGAGGCUCUGAGGCCAGCUCUUUAUUCCUCAAAGGAAGCAGUCACUGUAAUGCUGCACUCGGAACCGUGUGGCUAGUUAGCACCUUCCCUCACCAUUGGAGCCAUGAAAUCUAUUACGUUCCCUUCGGAGGGCAGUUUAAGGAGAAAUUGAUACAUUUGUACAGAACAUAGUGGCCAUGCUGGAAAGAUUUUUCCUACAUCUACACAAUGAUGACAAAAUUGGACACGACUAAAAGGUUUGGGCAGCCUAGUUCUUGCAACAAAACCUAGUAACAGAUGUCACGACACCCUUAAAAUGCCUGAUGUGUAGCAGGACACCAGUGUUCGCCCUUAAGUCACAUUCUUAGGUGGGGGGGCCUUGAAAUGUUUCUGAUCAGUAAUUUAGGUGUUUUAAUAGAAGACCCCUUUCUCAAGAUCUUAUGUGGAACCUAAUAUAUCAGGAAAAUAAUUGCUAGGCCACACAGUGUUUAAAAAAAGAAAAGAAAAGAUGGUGAUUUCAUCUACCUGCAGUGAUCCCAAAGCAUUUUAAAGAAAUCUGCACAUGCCAUGAGGUCAUAUGAGGCACCCAGAUCCCCUAUCCAGCCACAAGCCCAGGCAUUAAGUUAGAGAUCAGGAAAAUCAGGACACUACUUGAUGGAAGAUUCAUGAGAUUAUUAUAUUAAGAAUGGUUACUCUCUAGCAUGGUGUUUUUCAACCUUCCUAAUGUUGUAAGCCUUUAAGUGCAGUUCCUCAUGUCAUGGUGACCCCAAACAUAAAAUUAUUUUUGUUGCUAAUUCAAAACUAUAAUUUUGCUACUGUUCUGAAUUGUCAUGUAAAUAUCUGGUAUGCAGGAUAUCUAAUAUGUGACCCUUGUGAAAGGGUCAUUUGACACACCCCUCCCCCAAAGGAGUCACAACCCACAGGUUGAGAACCACUGGUCUAAAGGGACCUUUUUUAAUCAUUAGCACAUACCAAGUUCUAAACUGCACUAAACUAAAAUAUUGCUAUUUUUUUCCUGCUAGUUAGUAAAUGGGGGUUCUUGUGGAGUGUCAGCUGAGCUCUGGGUACAUUAAUGAAACUGCCUUUUCUCUUACAUUGCAAUUGUCAUUUAAGUCAGCUGGCCACCUCACAUGCUUCUAAGGUCUUUCUCCUCACAGUGGGAAGGAGGGCUGCUUUGUACCCUCUAAAUGGCAAAGCAACACCUCGGUCUUCUACAAUAGUAUGCAGGCAACAAAUCCCAUACUGUACCAACUUACACUGCUGAAUGUCCUUUGAUGAGCAAAGAAAUCAUUUGAGAGGCGUGUUCUAUACUGGCCCCUUUCCAUAAAGGGCAGAGAAAUCUAAGCUACACAUCCAACCAGAGAUCCCCUAAGCUGAAGGAUUCUACUCAUUCAUGCAGUCAGUCACGUGAUCAACAUUUGUAAGGAAGCACCUUCUAUAUGUGAGAACUUCCACAGACUUCACAGGCCUCCCAGGACUCAAAGACUCAGUGAUGAGACUCAUUGCAGCCCCUGGACUAUUUGUGUCCUCAGAUAUCAGGUUGUUCACAUCAUUGGGACAUUGUCUUGCUUAUCCCUUUCUCCAACUCUACUUAGGAAUGCUCCCUCUCGCUCUCACCCUCCCCUUCUCUCUCUCUCUCUCUCUCUCUCUCUCUCUCUCUCUCUCUCUCUCUCUCUCUCUCUCUCUCUCUCUCUCUCUCUCUCUGUGUAUGCACAUGGGAAACCUGUUAUUAACUACUUACCAAAGUUCCGUCCAUGUGCUAAGUCCUAAUGACCAGCUUGUGCUCACUUUCUGUUGCUGUGUUGUUUCGAACUCAUGAGAAUACAGGACAUCAUGGCAGAAUGGGGGCUGUCCUCUUCCUAGUAGUUAUAGAAAGAUAAGCAUGCUAAAACCCUCUCCAAAGGCACUGUUCCAGUAACCUAACUCCUUCCUAAUAAGCCACACAUCUUAAAGAUUCUCUCACUCCCAAAACCAUCAGAGGCUGGAAGCCAAGUCCUUGGUGCAUUGGCCUUCUGGGGACAUUCCAGAUAAAAACUCCAGCACAAUUAAUAGGCAAAAAAAGGCUUGCCUUGUCAAGUCAGCUGCCACUCUGUGUGAUCAGACACCCUACUCGCCACAUUUUUCACCCUGCUACAAUUAUAGAGUUACUCAUCUGCCUCUCCCAAAAGAUUCAAAUUCCUCCUGUGCCCAUCUCGUCUGUUAAAUAAUAAAUUUAGUAGGCUAAUA